CCUGUAGGCUUUCAAAGAAUUUACAACUUCAUCUACUGCUUUGCUUGAGAAGUUUUAAAUUCCAUCAAUUUUUAUUUUUCUUAUAUAUAGAAAAUAUUUUCAGAAUGUUAAUGAUUAAAGUAUACUUCUUAUUAUGUUUGCUUAAAAACAAUCAAAAUUGCAAAGAUGGUAGCGAAAAGGGUUGAUUUAGUUGUACCUUUACUGGUCUGGAAAAAUGGUUAAAUUCAGUUUUACUAUAAAGCUCGUACAACUUAUAAGAUUAAAAGUCGGGAAUUUUUAUCCUGGUGGCGAAGAAUGUGCCCUAAAAACUGGUAUUGUUUGGAGAUAACCUCAGAAUGUGGUUGAAUGUGACAAUGAGCUCAAAAUACAAACAUUGAUUCCAUAGUUGAUCAAAACUUACGACAGAAGGAGAUGUAAAAUCUGAUGUCAAAUGGGAAAGGAUAGGUGUUUGUGGUGCACUGAAAAAAUCAAAGACUAAUAAAAGCCAAAACCAUCCGGCUUAACCUUGAAAUAUAAAGUAAAUUUUCAUAUAAGGCAGACACGUACAUUGGAUUACAAAUUAUAAUUUUCUUUCAAUUAAAAAUUAAUAAAAAAAAAAAUUUAAAAAGUAAAAA